GUUAAGCGACUAAGCGUACACGGUGGAUGCCCUGGCAGUCAGAGGCGAUGAAGGACGUGCUAAUCUGCGAUAAGCGUCGGUAAGGUGAUAUGAACCGUUAUAACCGGCGAUUUCCGAAUGGGGAAACCCAGUGUGUUUCGACACACUAUCAUUAACUGAAUCCAUAGGUUAAUGAGGCGAACCGGGGGAACUGAAACAUCUAAGUACCCCGAGGAAAAGAAAUCAACCGAGAUUCCCCCAGUAGCGGCGAGCGAACGGGGAGCAGCCCAGAGCCUGAAUCAGUGUGUGUGUUAGUGGAAGCGUCUGGAAAGGCGCGCGAUACAGGGUGACAGCCCCGUACACAAAAAUGCACAUAUUGUGAGCUCGAUGAGUAGGGCGGGACACGUGGUAUCCUGUCUGAAUAUGGGGGGACCAUCCUCCAAGGCUAAAUACUCCUGACUGACCGAUAGUGAACCAGUACCGUGAGGGAAAGGCGAAAAGAACCCCGGCGAGGGGAGUGAAAAAGAACCUGAAACCGUGUACGUACAAGCAGUGGGAGCACGCUUAGGCGUGUGACUGCGUACCUUUUGUAUAAUGGGUCAGCGACUUAUAUUCUGUAGCAAGGUUAACCGAAUAGGGGAGCCGAAGGGAAACCGAGUCUUAACUGGGCGUUAAGUUGCAGGGUAUAGACCCGAAACCCGGUGAUCUAGCCAUGGGCAGGUUGAAGGUUGGGUAACACUAACUGGAGGACCGAACCGACUAAUGUUGAAAAAUUAGCGGAUGACUUGUGGCUGGGGGUGAAAGGCCAAUCAAACCGGGAGAUAGCUGGUUCU
rnacentral:rRNA from 1 species